rnacentral:lncRNA from 1 species
UUCCUCUAGUUACAUAUGCUCUGUGAAAUGAUGUCAAUGAACAGAAGACAACCAAGCCUGCUUUUCAUUUUCCUAACUCAUCCUUACAGUGUACCCUGUUUCACCUCCCAGCAAACUGCAAGUGAUUAUCACCUUCAAUUGAACUGAAGGAGACAGCGAGGCAGACUCACAUACAUUAAUGAAGUCUGUUCAGUAGACUACACCCUGAAUGACAUACAACCACUGAGUUACUGACAUGACUUCCUGCAUCGGUGAUAGCAUUCAGUGCAUCAACUGUAUUUCUGAAUUCUAUGUAGUAUUCACAGCAUCCAGAAUAUCACUUCAACCAAGAUUCAUCACCUUUCAAAUGAGAAACAUCAGCUGAUUGAAUUAGGUACAUUAAGAACUGAAUCAAAUGCGUACUGCAUUAAAUCAUUCAAUGAAAUCAGCUUGUAUUAUAGAAUAUUGCAUUUCUGGAUUUAUUGCCUGGAUUGCCUGCAUCU